GUCUACGGCCGUGCCACUCUGAACAAGCCUGACGUCUGAUCUCAGAAGCUAAGCAGGGUCGGGCCUGGUUAGAACUUGGAUGGGAGACCGCCUGGGAAUACUGGGCGCUGUAGGCA
rfam:Pteropus alecto contig91667, whole genome shotgun sequence.